ACUUAUUAGAUGGUAGGUGAAAAGGAGCAGAAGACAAGAGUAGGAUUAUAUUUUCCAACGAGCUCCAUCUAUCACUAAUGGCGGUUAAGGUACCACCAAUAUCUCAGACGUGCAGACAUAGACCGACUUACAGGAUCGCCAUGAUGUUUUGGAGCAUUAAGUGAAAACAACAUACUUUUCACUUUUUUUGGACAUGUUUAUUGUGGCUUGUGUAAUCCCUAUUUGGGCGGACGCCACUUUUGAAAUUGCACUUUUUGAAUAUUAGUCAUAUAUUUUUGAGUUUAGUUAUCCCUACUUAGCUUUUAA